rnacentral:rRNA from 1 species
AGAAUCAACGCUGGCGGCGUGCCUAACACAUGCAAGUCGCACGAGAAAGUGGAGCAAUCCAUGAGUACAGUGGCGCACGGGUGAGUAACACGUGAAUAAUCUACCUCCGAGUGGGGAAUAACUGAGAGAAAUCUUAGCUAAUACCGCAUAAUACCCACGGGUCAAAGCAGCAAUGCGCUUGGAGAGGAGUUCGCGGCCGAUUAGCUAGUUGGCGGGGUAAUGGCCCACCAAGGCGAUGAUCGGUA